GCACCAGACGAGCCGCAGGGCGGGACAGA
rnacentral:sRNA from 1 species